rnacentral:rRNA from 1 species
ACGAGAGUUUGUAACACCCGAAGCCGGUGGAGUAACCAUUUGGAGCUAGCCGUCGAAGGUGGGACAAAUGAUUGGGGUGAAGUCGUAACAAGGUAGCCGUAUCGGAAGGUGCGGCUGGAUCACCUCCUUUCUAAGGA